AUGCAAGUCGAGCGGAAACGAGUUAACUGAACCUUCGGGGAACGUUAACGGCGUCGAGCGGCGGACGGGUGAGUAAUGCCUGGGAAAUUGCCCUGAUGUGGGGGAUAACCAUUGGAAACGAUGGCUAAUACCGCAUAAUAGCUUCGGCUCAAAGAGGGGGACCUUCGGGCCUCUCGCGUCAGGAUAUGCCCAGGUGGGAUUAGCUAGUUGGUGAGGUAAGGGCUCACCAAGGCGACGAUCCCUAGCUGGUCUGAGAGGAUGAUCAGCCACACUGGAACUGAGACACGGUCCAGACUCCUACGGGAGGCAGCAGUGGGGAAUAUUGCACAAUGGGCGCAAGCCUGAUGCAGCCAUGCCGCGUGUAUGAAGAAGGCCUUCGGGUUGUAAAGUACUUUCAGCAGUGAGGAAGGUGGUAGUGUUAAUAGCACUAUCAUUUGACGUUAGCUGCAGAAGAAGCACCGGCUAACUCCGUGCCAGCAG
rnacentral:rRNA from 1 species